rfam:Felis catus isolate Cinnamon breed Abyssinian chromosome D2, whole genome shotgun sequence.
GCCUGGGUGGCUCAGUCGGUUGAGCGUCCGACUUCGGCUCAGGUCAUGAUCUCACAGUUUGUGAGUUCAAGCCCCGCAUCAGGCU